CGCCGCGCGGCCGCUUCCCCCUCAGCUCUCCGCAGCGCCGCCGCCCCGCCCCGCCGGCCCUCAGGCGGGCCCGGCCCUCAGCGGGGAUGGGCCGGGGGCAACGAGCGAGGGGGAGCUCCGCGCCCCUAGGAGAAGAGAGUAGGGCGGCUUCAGGCGGAGCGAAGCGGCGGGCGGGCCGCUCGUGUGGCUGCUGGCCGAGGUUGUUACUUCGGCAAAGUAAAUGGCGGGAGAGCGCAAGUUUCCUGUGAGCAUCUCAAUUGGUGUGGCCUUUUGAAUGAAGAAAAUUAAGGAAAUCCAGACAGAUUCAGAAUGUAACAAGAGUGGUGCUAGUCUGGAAGAACUGCUUAGAGUUACAGCAGCCCUGAUCAUCAAGGGACAGCACCUCUAUAUAUGCAGAAGCUAUGCCAACUGUUUUUAAAUGGCACCUUAAAGAAGAAUGGAAGCAGCCGCUGAGAACGUGAGCUUCUGUGGAGAUAUGACAUCAGCAGGAUACAAAACAACAAAAAUAGGUGGAUCAUAAAACUCAGAAGAACACAGGCCGCAAAGCUCAGGCAGCAGCAUGGAGAUUGGAAACUGAGUGCCAAAAAGUUUCUAGGGCACAAGUGAACGUACUGGAUUCCAAAGGCCUCCAGAGAAUUAUGUAAGAGGAAGAAAAAAGAUCACCACCGACAGUUGUAUCAUGAAACAAACGUCAGUCACACCACCGCAACAAUUUAAAUCCCAGAUGGCACAGCAAAGAAAUUUAUUAAAAGUACUGAAGCUAAAGGUUCUUUCUGGUAAGGACUGCAUGAACUGAGUAACGCUGCACCCAGGGUAAUUCUUUCCUACAACUAUUUUGUAAUUAGAUGUGCACUUCACUGAGACCAAAACAUCACUCUGAUGGUUUUUUGAGGGACCUUAUAACUAGAAAUGGAUAAAAUGAUCAAGCCAGUACGUCAUCUGCUUUGCGGAUUACUUACUUGUAUUGACAGAAAAAAAAGGCAUGGGGACAUGAAAAAAAGAGACUAAUUCUGAGAAGUCAGAAAAUUUGCCAGCUGAUAGCCCUUACUAAACACUGAAGGCUGUAUACUUGGAUAGAUUCAAGCAAUUUAAUGCAUUAUAGAGGAGUCAAUAUGAAAUACGUACUAUCGGUAAGGUAUUACCUCACACGGCAAAACAAAACCGCUCUUGUACUUGCUGCCAAAGGACGACAUUGGCAGCUGUUUCUUGAUAAGGACAACAGCUACAUCACCACACUCUGGAUUUCCUGAGACAAAUUGGUAGGGAUGGUAGAAUGCCCCAGGGAUCAAACGUACAGGAUUUGAAAAGCAGGACAGGCAACAAGACUCACUAACAGGACUCGAGCACUUCAUAGAUUAAUGUUGAAAUUAUAUUGAGAAUAUUUUGGAUGUAAAGAUAGUAUAGCAAGAAGUAUAGCAAGGCAUGAACUCGAUCUCCUCUCUCUUAUCAGCGUAAGCAGGAAAGCUGGAAGAACAAGGUGAUUUCUGGCUCAUUGCUGCACCAUCCAUGAUUUACCUGCUGACUUACCCACAGCUUGCUUUUAACAGCUGAAACCAACAGAGAAGAUAUGCCACAUGUAAAAGAUAUUAUUACAUCGUAUCAAAGCCUUCAUUAAAAAAUAUUUAACAUAGGUUUUUUUCCAAGUUAGACUAGUGUAUAUAAACCCCCAGGGUGAGUAGAAGAUGGAAAUGCAAGAGAUGCAGUUCAUCUAAACAAUAAAGCAAAGAGCAGGGGUAGCCCAUUCUGAAAUUCAGUGAUAUUCUGCAGCGUGCACGAGCAGACAGCAUGUUGCUGCCAAGAUGGGGAUUGGGACAUUGUUUCUAGAAAUAAGGCAACCGGGAGCUUUCACGUUAAUCUUACUAAUACCCACAGAAAAACCUCCCCGCAAAUAAAGUAUCUUACCAUCACCUGCAUGUGUAAUAAGCGCCACCAGCACAGCGGGGAAGGAAAGUCUUCAGAAACUACUGUAAAUAAUUAGAAGGCAUAUUUAUGAAGUACCCUAUUACACACCCCCAGAACACUGUUACCUGAUAUUCUUGGAAUAGCAGAGCUAAAACUGAGAUACUACGAGACGCAUAUAGAUGAUUUCUCACACAGCAAUCGCGACGAGAAAGCUAUGAAAAAUGCAUUUUUCUUCCUAAGGCAAAGCAUCAUUUAAAGCAACUAUAUAGGAGAUUGAAGGCAGGAACUUAAAAGAACAAGUUCUGACCAGAGGGUCACAAUUGCUACUAGCAUCCUAAGGAUACUUGGAAGAUCUGCAUAAUCUGCAUAAACAAAAGAGGCAUCAUAUAUAAGCAAUAUACUAUAUAUUAAACAUAUACUCUUCAGAAAAGUUAUUCUUGAAAACAUACAUUAGAGCCAUUUUGAUUUCUCAUAUGCAGGCAACUAUAAGAGAGAUGAAAGACCUGGUAAAUAGCUAUGUCAUACAUAGGAACAUCCAGAGCCAGACAUUGGAAAUGUGCAACGUUCCCAGUAGAGCUCAGUAUACAUUAGGAACGCACAGAAAUUCUCUCAUUAUCCUAAACCAUUAUCUAGGGGUUUGGAAGUGAUACAUAUUGUCAGAUACUGCUGCAGUGAUUACUGCAGGCAAAGCAACGUAGCAUUUCAAUGGACAGUCAUUCUGGCCGAUUUAAAAAUGCUUAUUUUAAUGAGAGAAAACUCCAUAAAACUCUGGAGGAGUGGCUCAUCACCCCAGAUACAUGGCUUCGCAUCAGAACUGAGGAUGUGCCCAGAAGAUAUGCCCUGUCCUGGAAUGCUGUUAGCUACCCCUUAGCAGGUCUCUGCCUAUUCAGCUACAGCGAUCGCAUC